AUAAAGUUUGAAUAAAAAAAUGUUAAUUUUUUUAAAAAGAAUUAUAAUAACUAUAUUUAAGAAUUAAUCUUCAAUUAAAAAUAAAAAAAUUUUUUAUUAAAAUAUCUUUCAAAUAAAAUUAUAUUUAAAAUUACUUAGAAAUUAAUUAUGUUAAAAUUAGUAUAAAAUAUUAUGUUAAUUUAAGGAACUCGGCUUUCAUCUGUUUAUCAAAAACAUAGUCUUAUGAAAAUAUAAGGUGUAACCUGCCCACUGGUUUUAAAUGGCCGCAGUACUUUGACUGUGCUAAGGUAGCAUAAUAAAUUGACUUUUAAUUGGGGCCUUGAAUGAAAGGAUUAAUGGAUAAUUUCUGUCUUUAAUAAAUAAAUUUAAAUUUACUUAGAAGGUGAAAAUUCCUUUAAUUUAAUAUAAUAGACGAGAAGACCCUAGGAGUUAUUUUGUUGGGGCGACAAUAUAGCAUAACCUAUAUAUUUUUAAUAACGAAAAAUUUUAAUAAUAAUUUAACUACCCUAGGGAUAACAGCAUAAUUUUAAUUAAAGUUUGUGACCUCGAUGUUGGACUAGGAACUUUUAAAGCUAACAGCGUUAA
rnacentral:rRNA from 1 species